GAUCCUGGCUCGGGAUGGACGCUAGCUACAGGCUUAACACAUGCAAGUCGAGGGGCAGCAUGGUCUUAGCUUGCUAAGGCCGAUGGCGACCGGCGCACGGGUGAGUAACGCGUAUGCAACCUGCCCGAUACCGGGGUAUAGCCCAUGGAAACGUGGAUUAACACCCCAUAGUACUUUUAUCCUGCAUGGGAUGUGAGUUAAAUGUUCAAGGUAUCGGAUGGGCAUGCGUCCUAUUAGUUAG
rnacentral:rRNA from 1 species